ACGAACGCUGGCGGCAGGCCUCACACAUGCAAGUCGCGCGGACCCUUCGGGGUUAGCGGCGGACGGGUGAGUAACGCGUGGGAACGUGCCCUUUGCUUCGGAAUAGCCCUGGGAAACUGGGAGUAAUACCGGAUACGCCCUUUUGGGGAAAGAUUUAUCGGCGAAGGAUCGGCCCGCGUUGGAUUAGGUAGUUGGUGGGGUAAUGGCCUACCAAGCCGACGAUCCAUAGCUGGUUUGAGAGGAUGAUCAGCCACACUGGGACUGAGACACGGCCCAGACUCCUACGGGAGGCAGCAGUGGGGAAUCUUAGACAAUGGGGGAAACCCUGAUCUAGCCAUGCCGCGUGAGCGAUGAAGGCCUUAGGGUUGUAAAGCUCUUUCACCGGGGAAGAUAAUGACGGUACCCGGAGAAGAAGCCCCGGCUAACUCCGUG
rnacentral:rRNA from 1 species